GCCUGAGAGUUAUUCAUUACAUUCUUUCUGUCCCAUCAUUGCUGCCUUACUCGUUACCAGGCUAAUUUCUACAGCCUCCCUGUGCUGCUACCACCACACAAUGGAGUCUUUGUGUAUGCGAAUUGGAAUAAACUUGGUUGAUGUGAGGUCAUCUAGGUAACCUGAUGGAGGGAGCCAAAACAGUUAAAGCCAAUUGUCCAGCUCAGCAGACUGUUUCCCCCAGAGCACAACACUGAGGCUCUCAUCCAUUUU